rnacentral:rRNA from 1 species
GAUGAACGCUGGCGGCGUGCCUAAUACAUGCAAGUCGAGCGAACGGACGAGAAGCUUGCUUCUCUGAUGUUAGCGGCGGACGGGUGAGUAACACGUGGAUAACCUACCUAUAAGACUGGGAUAACUUCGGGAAACCGGAGCUAAUACCGGAUAAUAUUUUGAACCGCAUGGUUCAAAAGUGAAAGACGGUCUUGCUGUUACUUAUAGAUGGAUCCGCGCUGCAUUAGCUAGUUGGUAAGGUAACGGCUUACCAAGGCAACGAUGCAUAGCCGACCUGAGAGAGUGAUCGGCCACACUGGAACUGAGACAGGGUCCAGACUCCUACGGGAGGCAGCAGUAGGGAAUCUUACGCAAUGGGCGAAAGCCUGACGGAGCAACGCCGCGUGAGUGGUGAAGGUCUUCGGAUCGUAAAACUCUGUUAUUAGGGAAGAACAUAUGUGUAAGUAACUGUGCACAUCUUGACGGUACCUAAUCAGAAAGCCACGGCUAACUACGUG